UGCAGUGCGAUAGAAACUCACUAUCUGGCAUCGAUGGUUUCUUGGCUUUGUGCAUGUUAAACCUAGUAUAUCUAAUGAUACAGUU